AUUUGAUUACUACACUAUUGACGGUAUUGAGCGUUUGAUGCUACCGUUAAAUCUAACUUUUUGACCAUUUUCACUCGUCAGACUAUACUAUUUAAACAACCACUUACUCAACUCUAGAAAAUCACUAUCAUCUUAAUCGCACAUCCCUUCGUUUAAAAGUAGAAAAUCUAAUAGCACAAGCCCCUAGUAAUAUGAAUAGUAUAGUAGCCUAGUUCUAUACAUAUUAUACAAAAGUAUAAUACUAUUAUUUUGAAUAUUAAUUUUAAUACAAAAUUGUGAGGAGACCGGCUACUAUGCUCUUAUGAGUUUGGUGGGCUCAUAAAUCAUUUUCGAUGAUACAACUUCUAAAUAUACGAUCUAUACCGCUAAAUAUUCAUUUGAAACUUUUAAGAACCAAAUUAUAUAAUAUUGCGAUAUUAUUUAUCUUAUGAUAUGGGAUGCUUGCUAGUUUAACUAUGUAAAAAUAUCAGAAUUUGUUGAAUUAUCUACAGAAAAGUCGGUUCACUAUCAAAAUAGAUAUCAAUAAAUUCAAUUUUAAAUUGAAGAAUUCCAAACAGCAAGCAUAGCCUUUCGAUUUAGAAUUUCUAUCAUCGAAAAUAACUUAUUAAUACGAAAGCUUUCAUACUCAUAAAAAUAUAGUAGCCAAGUAUUAAAGUGCCCAUCAGUAUGGACUGUAUCCACCGUGCCAUAUUGUACCAGCAAGAUAUCGGCACGAUACAGCUCCCGUGCCAAUGACAUAAUUCAAAACUCUUUAUUCUUGAAAUUAGUAAGUAAUUUUCUCAAUAAAAUACAAAAAAAUUUAUAAAAAAAUUAUAUAAUAAAUAAUUGACAUAUUUUAUUGCUAAAAAAAUAAAUAUUUCAUACCAUUACGUGUCGGUACAUAUAUAUUUUUUAUGACUAGCACUCAUCGGCCCAGCCCGACAUGUAUCAUGCCGUACCGUGCCGGUAAGUUUCCAUCACGAUCCCGUGCCAUGGCCCUUAAAUCUUUAAUAGUAGCCCUACUCGACUGUCAGAUUGUCUAAACUUAGAUAAUCUACUUUCUUACAUGAUAGGAUAGAAUUGACUUGUGAUAUAUUCUAUAUAGUAUUGCUGUUAUAAGAACAACUUUUUUUUUUUUAGAGAGAGAAAAAUAGUAUGUUAUCUAUAUUGAUUAUUUUUUUAGAAAUGACUUAGCUGAAAAAUGUAAAAUAAUUAGAUUUUGAACUUAAAAUUUCGAAUACUAAUCAUCAAAUCUUUUGUUACCUGUACAAGGGGCAGAAAUAUUUUAGCUCAAUUAUAUAUAUUCUACCACAAGAAGACGUUACUAUA
rnacentral:lncRNA from 1 species